GUGAGGCCUAUAGCUCAGAGGAUUAGAGCACGUGGCUACGAACCACGGUGUUGGGGGUUCGAAUCCCGAUACUAUACU
rnacentral:tRNA from 1 species